AUUGAACGCUGGCGGCAGGCUUAACACAUGCAAGUCGAGCGAGCGGCGGACGGGUGAGUAAUGUCUGGGAAACUGCCUGAUGGAGGGGGAUAACUACUGGAAACGGUAGCUAAUACCGCAUACCAUCAGAUGUGCCCAGAUGGGAUUAGCUAGUAGGUGGGGUAACGGCUCACCUAGGCGACGAUCCCUAGCUGGUCUGAGAGGAUGACCAGCCACACUGGAACUGAGACACGGUCCAGACUCCUACGGGAGGCAGCAGUGGGGAAUAUUGCACAAUGGGCGCAAGCCUGAUGCAGCCAUGCCGCGUGUGUGAAGAAGGCCUUCGGGUUGUAAAGCACUUUCAGCGGGGAGGCGUUACCCGCAGAAGAAGCACCGGCUAACUCCGUGCCAGCAGCCGCGGUAAUUC
rnacentral:rRNA from 1 species